GUGUUGGAAGUUGGGGGUUGUUGGGGGUGGGCUUGGAACACAGCACCAGUUUUCCACUGAUGAAAACGACAAAGACAUAAUAUAAAAACAGGUAAUGAGUCAUAGUGAAAUAGAAUAUAUUAAAAUCAAUAAAUUUUACCAAUGGAAAAUGCAAAUGUGACAAAGUUUGUAACACGUUCAUUGCCGAGACAUAGAAGCAAUUCAAAUAUGUUAAGAAAAAUUAAUAAAAAUAUAGAUACUUUAUGA